GGCUGGUGGUCCAGGCGGGCUGGGCCCAGCGGGGAGCCAAGGAGUAGAGGUUGCCCAGGCUCUCUGGAGAGAAACAGAGGGACAGAAAGCAGGGGCUGGUGUGUUUUUCAGGAAGGAAAUCUUCGCUGCUGUAACAGUCUGGGAGUCUCGGCUCAGCCCAGCAGUCCAGCCCCGCCAGGAAGCGCCCCCUCCCGCCACGCUCGCUGGUCCCAGGCAAACACUUUAGAGGACAGGAAGGGGAGAGGUGAGAACAAACAUACACGGCACUUACUCAGUGCCGGGCACCGUUCUAAGCUCUUCGCCCGGACCGAGCUACCAGCAAUGGCCGCAGCUUCACGCUUUGAUGAGGAGGAGACUGAAGCACAGACGGGUGGACAAGAAGCCCAGAGCCAUUAGAACCACAUUCAAGACAAGCAGAGCGAAGAACAAGGACGGGUUGAAGCUGAGUCCAUCUCUCUUUAUCAGGAAAGAAAAGCCCUCCUCAAAGCUACCCCAGCCAAUUAUCUGCUUCUAUAUCAUAGGCAGAGGAUGGGGAUGGAUGUUGGGCAACUGACCACUAGUGUCUGCCACGAUGGAUGCCAGCACCCCGGCUGCCAGACGUUGUUGCCGUGGGUCAGCCUGGGCCCAGCCCCACCUGGCCCCACUCAAGUGAGCCUCCAGCCACCCACCCACAGCCGUGGUUGGUCCUGCAACCAGCGAGAGUUCAGCCUGGAAUGAUACCAAGAGCUUUCUUCCAGCUCAAGGCAGGCCUCAAAAAUUGUCUCCAAGCUUCUGGUGAGGGAUACAAGGCAACUUCCUGCCCUGUGUGGGAGCCAGUUGGUUUGGUCUCAGGCUUCUAGAACAUUCCAUCUGCCUUGAUCUCUGACAUGGAAAGGAAGUCUAACCCUGUGUCCAGGAGACACACUGGCUCCCACCAGCCCUUUCCCAGUGUGGAAUCCUGCCUUGAGCACCCAUCCUGGCUGCACCACCUGGCUAACAAGCUUCUUCUCCGACCAUCUGCUCUGCCUGUCCAUCCCUCUCUCUUUCACGUGGCUUCCUGAUACUUCCUGGACAGGUGUUGGCCAUUCUGCCCUGGAUAUGGCUGUCUGCAUGAGCUGGGGCUAUCUUGCCAUUGCCCCAAGCCUCUGGGCCCAGCCACACAGUCCCAGAAUGCCAUCAUUCUUUCAGAAAUAUUUUUUAAUCAGAAGAGUACGGGGGCACCUGGUGGCUCAGUUGGUUAAGCAUCCAACUCUUGAUUUCAGCUCAGGUCAUGACCUCAGGGUCGUGAGAUCAAGCCCCACAUUAGCCUCCAUGCUGAGUGUGAAGGCUGCUUAAGAUUCUCUCUCCCUCUCUUUCUGCCCCUCCCCCACCCACUCACCUGCUUGUGCUCUCUCUCUCUCUCUCAAAACAAAAAACGAGUACAGGGGUGCCUGGGUGGCUCAGUCGUUAAGCAUCUGCCUUCGGCUCAAGUCAUGAUCCCAGGGUCCUGGGAUCAGGCCCUGCAUCGGGCUCCCUGCUCGGUGGGAAGCCUGCUUCUCCCUCUCCCACUCCCCCUGCUUGUGUUCCCUCUCUCGCUGUGUCUCUCUCUGUCAAAUAAGUAAAUAAAAACUUUUAAAAAAAGAGUACAUGGUGGGGAGAGGUGCCUGGCUGGCUCAGUCAGUGGAGUGUGUGACUCUUGAUCUCAGGGUCAUGAGUUCAAGCCCAUGUUGGGUGUAGAGCCUACUUAAAAAUAAAAGAGUACAUGGGAAUUCCAUUUUUAGCAAAAUGACAGUGAGCGAUAGGCAGUCAUCAUUCUAAUAAUAGCCGACACUUACAUAGCACUUACUACAUCUGGACACCAUUCUAAACAUUUUAUAUGUUUGUUCACAGUUACCCUCUGUGGUGGGAAUAUCAGUCUUCCAUUUUUCAGA